UCCYUACGGGAGGCAGCAGUGGGGAAUWUUGCACAAUGGGCGAAAGCCUGAUGCAGCGACGCCGCGUGGGGGAUGACGGUCUUCGGAUUGUAAACCCCUUUCAGUAGGGACGAAGCGCAAGUGACGGUACCUGCAGAAGAAGCACCGGCUAACUACGUGCCAGCAGCCGCGGUAAUACGUAGGGUGCGAGCGUUGUCCGGAAUUACUGGGCGUAAAGAGCUYGUAGGCGGUUUGUCACGUCGUCUGUGAAAUCCCUYGGCUUAACCGGGGGCGUGCAGGCGAUACGGGCAGACUUGAGUACUACAGGGGAGACUGGAAUUCCUGGUGUAGCGGUGAAAUGCGCAGAUAUCAGGAGGAACACCGGUGGCGAAGGCGGGUCUCUGGGUAGUAACUGACGCUGAGGAGCGAAAGCAUGGGUAGCGAACAGGAUUAGAUACCCUGGUAGUCCAUGCCGUAAACGGUGGGCGCUAGGUGUGGGGUYCUUCCACGGACUCCGUGCCGUAGCUAACGCAUUAAGCGCCCCGCCUGGGGAGUACGGCCGCAAGGCUAAAACUCAAAGGAAUUGACGGGGGCCCGCACAAGCGGCGGAGCAUGUGGAUUAAUUYGAUGCAACGCGAAGAACCUUACCUAGGCUUGACAUAUACAGGACGACGG
rnacentral:rRNA from 1 species